GCUCUCGGGAUUGACCAUUGAUACUCGGCCAUGGCUGCCAGCGACCGCUGUACUCGGUCAAAUCAACGCCCUCUCCACCAUGGCCCAGCCCUCCACCCGGCUUGUACACCUUUCUCCAUCACCAUCGCUGUAAAAGCUAGGGGACUCUGCACAACACUGCAAAGCUAAUCGCAUGAUGGAUGAUAUGAAGUCCAUAGCAGCAUGUCCUUCGAUUCUUUGCAAAUUGGCAUCAACGAGUUCAAUUACUGAAAGAGGUAACAAAUCCUCUACCCAACGCUUGAAGCUCAUUUCUCCAGCAAACAUGUCAUCUGUCGGCUUCUUUCUUGUGAAAGUUUCCAUCAGUAAAAUACCGUAACUAUACACAUCACUUCUUGUAGAAACAAUUCCUUCCAAUCCAUACUCUACGUGUGCAUUACAAUUUGUUAUAAGAAUAUGCGUUUAUAUUCGACAAUAGUGAAAAAGAACAACCAAAGAAAAAAAUUGUUAAGAUCAA